GGCCUGGUAGCUCAGUUGGCUAGAGCGUUGGUUGUCCUACAGUCUUCAAAUUGCUGUCGUGGGUUCGAAUCCUACUGAGGCCG
rnacentral:tRNA from 1 species